rnacentral:rRNA from 1 species
UACGUAGGGUGCAAGCGUUAAUCGGAAUUACUGGGCGUAAAGCGUGCGCAGGCGGUUUUGUAAGUUUGUCGUGAAAUCCCCGGGCUCAACCUGGGAAUUGCGAUGAAGACUGCAAGGCUAGAAUCUGGCAGAGGGGGGUAGAAUUCCACGUGUAGCAGUGAAAUGCGUAGAGAUGUGGAGGAACACCGAUGGCGAAGGCGGCCCCCUGGGUCAAGAUUGACGCUCAUGCACGAAAGCGUGGGGAGCAAACAGG